rnacentral:misc_RNA from 1 species
GAAAUGCGAUAAGUAAUGUGAAUUGCAGAAUUCAGUGAAUCAUCGAAUCUUUGAACGCACAUUGCGCCCCCUGGUAUUCCGGGGGGCAUGCCUGUUCGAGCGUCAGUUCACCACUCAAGCCUCGCUUGGUAUUGGGCAACGCGGUCCGCCGCGUGCCUCAAAUCGACCGGCUGGGUCUUCUGUCCCCUAAGCGUUGUGGAAACUAUUCGCUAAAGGGUGUUCGGGAGGCUACGCCGUAAAACAACCCCAUUUCUAAGGUUGACCUCGGAUCAGGUAGGGAUACCCGCUGAACUUAAGC